GUGGACGCCAGUCUGCGUGGAGCCGACCUUGAAAUACCACCCUUUAAUGUUUGAUGUUCUAACGUGGACCCGUGAUCCGGGUUGCGGACAGUGUCUGGUGGGUAGUUUGACUGGGGCGGUCUCCUCCUAAAGAGUAACGGAGGAGCACGAAGGUUGGCUAAUCCUGGUCGGACAUCAGGAGGUUAGUGCAAUGGCAUAAGCCAGCUUGACUGCGAGCGUGACGGCGCGAGCAGGUGCGAAAGCAGGUCAUAGUGAUCCGGUGGUUCUGAAUGGAAGGGCCAUCGCUCAACGGAUAAAAGGUACUCCGGGGAUAACAGGCUGAUACCGCCCAAGAGUUCAUAUCGACGGCGGUGUUUGGCACCUCGAUGUCGGCUCAUCACAUCCUGGGGCUGAAGUAGGUCCCAAGGGUAUGGCUGUUCGCCAUUUAAAGUGGUACGCGAGCUGGGUUUAGAACGUCGUGAGACAGUUCGGUCCCUAUCUGCCGUGGGCGCUGGAGAACUGAGGGGGGCUGCUCCUAGUACGAGAGGACCGGAGUGGACGCAUCACUGGUGUUCGGGUUGUCAUGCCAAUGGCACUGCCCGGUAGCUAAAUGCGGAAGAGAUAAGUGCUGAAAGCAUCUAAGCACGAAACUUGCCCCGAG
rnacentral:rRNA from 4 species